rnacentral:rRNA from 1 species
UACGAAGGGUGCAAACGUUGCUCGGAAUCAUUGGGCGUAAAGCGCACGUAGGCGGCUUUCUAAGUCGGGGGUGAAAUCCUGGAGCUCAACUCCAGAACUGCCUUCGAUACUGGAAAGCUCGAGUCCGGGAGAGGUGAGUGGAACUGCGAGUGUAGAGGUGAAAUUCGUAGAUAUUCGCAAGAACACCAGUGGCGAAGGCGGCUUACUGGUCCGGUUCUGACGCUGAGGCGCGAAAGCGUGGGGAGCAAACAGG